rnacentral:rRNA from 1 species
UACGUAGGGGGCUAGCGUUGUCCGGAAUCAUUGGGCGUAAAGAGCGUGUAGGCGGCCCGGUAAGUCCGCUGUGAAAGUCGGGGGCUCAACCCUCGAAUGCCGGUGGAUACUGUCGGGCUAGAGUGCGGAAGAGGCGAGUGGAAUUCCUGGUGUAGCGGUGGAAUGCGCAGAUAUCAGGAGGAACACCUAUUGCGAAGGCAGCUCGCUGGGACGUAACUGACGCUGAGACGCGAAAGCGUGGGGAGCAAACAGG